UAACCACCGUAGGAAACAGAUGACUAAUACCGGAUAACAACAGAUGAUGCCUAUCAACUGUUUAAAAGAUGGUUCUGCUAUCACUCUUGGAUGGACCUGCGGUGCAUUAGCUAGUUGGUAGGGUAACGGCCUACCAAGGCGAUGAUGCAUAGCCGAGUUGAGAGACUGAUCGGCCACAUUGGGACUGAGACACGGCCCAAACUCCUACGGGAGGCAGCAGC
rnacentral:rRNA from 1 species